UACGGAGGGUGCGAGCGUUAUCCGGAUUUACUGGGCGUAAAGCGCACGUAAGCGGAUAUUUAAGUCGGGGGUGAAAUCCCGGGGCUCAACCCCGGAACUGCCUUCGAUACUGGGUAUCUUGAGUUCGGAAGAGGUGAGUGGAAUUGCGAGUGUAGAGGUGAAAUUCGUAGAUAUUCGCAGGAACACCAGUGGCGAAGGCGGCUCACUGGUCCGAUACUGACGCUGAGGUGCGAAAGCGUGGGGAGCAAACAGG
rnacentral:rRNA from 1 species